AGUGAACGCUGGCGGUAGGCCUAACACAUGCAAGUCGAACGGCAGCACUGUAAGAGCUUGCUCUUACGGGUGGCGAGUGGCGGACGGGUGAGGAAUACAUCGGAAUCUACUUUUUCGUGGGGGAUAACGUAGGGAAACUUACGCUAAUACCGCAUACGACCUACGGGUGAAAGCAGGGGAUCUUCGGACCUUGCGCGAUUGAAUGAGCCGAUGUCGGAUUAGCUAGUUGGCGGGGUAAAGGCCCACCAAGGCGACGAUCCGUAGCCGGUCUGAGAGGAUGAUCAGCCACACUGGAACUGAGACACGGUCCAGACUCCUACGGGAGGCAGCAGUGGGGAAUAUUGGACAAUGGGCGCAAGCCUGAUCCAGCCAUACCGCGUGGGUGAAGAAGGCCUUCGGGUUGUAAAGCCCUUUUGUUGGGAAAGAAAAGCAGCAGGUUAAUACCCCGCUGUUCUGACGGUACCCAAAGAAUAAGCACCGGCUAACUUCGUG
rnacentral:rRNA from 1 species